rnacentral:rRNA from 1 species
CCUACGGGAGGCAGCAGUGAGGAAUAUUGGUCAAUGGGCGGGAGCCUGAACCAGCCAAGUCGCGUGAGGGAAGACGGUCCUAUGGAUUGUAAACCUCUUUAGGCGGGGAGCAAUGCCGGGCACGCGUGCCCGGAGGGAGAGUACCCGCAGAAUAAGCAUCGGCUAACUCCGUGCCAGCAGCCGCGGUAAUACGGAGGAUGCGAGCGUUAUCCGGAUUUAUUGGGUUUAAAGGGUGCGUAGGCUGUCGGAUAAGUUAGAGGUCAAAUGUCGGGGCUUAACCCCGUGCCUGCCUCUGAUACUGUUCGACUAGAGAGCGGAUGCAGCAGGCGGAAUGAGUAGUGUAGCGGUGAAAUGCUUAGAUAUUACUCAGAACACCGAUUGCGCAGGCAGCUUGCUAAUCCGCAUCUGACGCUGAUGCACGAAAGCGUGGGUAGCGAACAGGAUUAGAUACCCGAGUAGUC